UUCCAAUUAUUAAAAAAAGAUGAGUAAGAAUAUUGUUGGUGUUCUUAACUCAAGAGAAAUGUUUUCAAUUAUUUAUUCAUUAAAUUUUGAAAACCCGGCUAAGUGAAUCAUAGAAUAUUAAGCACUACACCAUGACUUAAGAUUAGAAUUCAAGGAGACCUAUUGAGAAUAGAUUUCUUGUAGGCUUUGAGCAUCAGGAGGAUUAGCACUGCUAUUCCGAUUCAGAGAUAAGGUUAAACGACAGGCUUUGCCUAGACAGGUUAAUGGCUGGUGAUGACGGGGCAGAGCUGAGGAUAGAGUUCAACUCCUUAUUUUAAUUUCCGCUGCAGAACUAGCCAGUAUCUGUCUUUUGUUCCUUAACUUAAGACCUAUUAUGUUGUGAUUCUAAAAACAAUAUCUUUUGUUGAACCUAGACUAUUAACUCUCAAAUAUUUUGAUCAGUGAUUGUUGGUUAUCUGAAGCAUGACACUAAACUUGUGAUCCUGAAGUUGUUAUAAUUGUUGAUUGAUUUGUAUCA